GACGAACGCUGGCGGCGUGCUUAACACAUGCAAGUCGAACGGAAAGGCCCUGCUUUUGUGGGGUGCUCGAGUGGCGAACGGGUGAGUAACACGUGAGUAACCUGCCCUUGACUUUGGGAUAACUUCAGGAAACUGGGGCUAAUACCGGAUAGGAGCUCCUGCUGCAUGGUGGGGGUUGGAAAGGUUCGGCGGUUGGGGAUGGACUCGCGGCUUAUCAGCUUGUUGGUGGGGUAGUGGCUUACCAAGGCUUUGACGGGUAGCCGGCCUGAGAGGGUGACCGGCCACAUUGGGACUGAGAUACGGCCCAGACUCCUACGGGAGGCAGCAGUGGGGAAUAUUGCACAAUGGGCGGAAGCCUGAUGCAGCAACGCCGCGUGCGGGAUGACGGCCUUCGGGUUGUAACCCGCUUUCGCCUGUGACGAAGCGUGAGUGACGGUAAUGGGUAAAGAAGCACCGGCUAACUACGUG
rnacentral:rRNA from 1 species